UGUUGCUUGCAAGGGCGUAUGGUGGAUGCCUUGGCAGACAGGACCGAUGAAGGACGUUUGAGGCUGCGAUAUGCCUCGGGGAGCCGCCAACAGGGCUUUGAUCCGAGGAUUUCCGAAUGGGGGAACCCACCGACCGUCAUGGGUCGGUACCGGCUUCGGCCGGGGGGUACGCAGGGAAGUGAAACAUCUCAGUACCUGCAGGAAAGGAUAUUCCGUGAGUAGUGGCGAGCGAAAGCGGAUGAUGGCCAAACCUUGCGCGUGUGAUACCCGUCGGGGGUUGCGCGCGGGGUGUUGCGGGAUCGCGUGCGCCGGCUCCGACGGGCCGGCCGGCAGUUGCAGAAAACCAUGUGUCAGGGGAACCGGGUUGAAUACCGGGCCGCAGAGGGUGAGGGCCCCGUACCUGAACGCGCAUGGUCUGCCGAUCGCGUCUCCCAAGUAGCACGGGUCCCGUGGAACCCCGUGCGAAUCCGCCCAGACCGUUGGGUAAGCCUGAAUAUUCCUGUCUGACCGAUAGCGAACGAGUACCGUGAGGGAAAGGUGAAAAGUACCCCGGGAGGGGAGUGAAAUAGUCCCUGAAACCGUGCGCCUACAAUCCGUCGGAGCCCUUUUGUGGGGUGACGGCGUGCCUAUCGAAAAAUGAGUCUGCGAGUCAGUGGCAUGUGGCGAGCAUAACCCGUGUGGGGUAUGCGUAGCGAAGGCGAGUCUUAAAAGGCGUUUGAGUCGCGUGUCCUGGACCCGAAGCGGGAUGAUCUAGCCCUGAGCAGGUUGAAGCGCGGGUAAGACCGCGUGGAGGACCGAACCCACCUGGGUUGAAAACCGGGGGGAUGACUUGGGGCUAGGGGUGAAAGGCCAAUCAAAUUCCGUGAUAGCUGGUUCUCUCCGAAAUGCAUUUGGGUGCAGCGUCGGGUCAUUACGUCCCGGGGGUAGAGCUACUGGAUGCUUGCGGGCCCGUAUCGGGUACCAACAGCAACCAAACUCCGAAUACCGGUGACGCGUAUCCCGGCAGUGAGUCGGCGGGGGAUAAGCUUCGUCGUCGAAAGGGAAACAGCCCAGACCGUCGUCUAAGGUCCCGAAGCGUGUGCUAAGUGGGAAAGGAUGUGGAGUCGCAUAGACAGCCAGGAGGUUGGCUCAGAAGCAGCCACCCUUGAAAGAGUGCGUAACAGCUCACUGGUCUAGUGGUUCCGCGCCGACAAUGUAGCGGGGCUCAAGCACACCACCGAAGACGCGGCAGUAUUUUGUACUGGGUAGGAGAGCGUCCCAUGAGGGGCGAAGCGGCCGUGUGAACGCGCCGUGGACUUCAUGGGAGUGAGAAUGCAGACAUGAGUAGCGAGAGACGGGUGAAGAUCCCGUCCGCUGGAUGACCAAGGGUUCCAGGGCCACGUUCAUCGUCCCUGGGUGAGUCGGGUCCUAAGGCGAGGCCGACAGGCGUAGUCGAAUGGAUGAACGGGUCGAUAUUCCCGUACCGGCUUUCAGCCGCCAAAACCGAGGCUUGGAGUACUAACCUCCGGGUCCGGGCUUACUGCUCCUUCGGGGGCGGGAUGCCCUGGCCUGUUGGGACCGAUCCUUGUAGUAGGUCAGCGCAGGAGUGACGCAGAAGGGUAGCCGGCCGCGGAGGUGGUCUUCCGUGGUCAAGCACGCAGGGCGUGGGACAGGCAAAUCCGUCCCGCAUGGGUCCGAGGUGCGAUGAUGGGGGCCUUAUGGCCCGAUAUCCGGUGAUCCCGGCUGCCGAGAAAAGCUUCGGCGUCAGGCUCAAAGCCGCCCGUACCCCAAACCGACACUGGUGGUCAGGUAGAGAAUACCAAAGCGAUCGAGCGAAUCCUGGUCAAGGAACUCGGCAAAUCACUCCCGUUCCUUCGGUUUAAGGGAGACCCCCGAUGGUGAACACACUUGCUGUGGGAGCUUUUGGGGGUGGCACAGACCAGGGGGUAGCGACUGUUUACCAAAAACACAGGUGCAUGCGAAGGCGCAAGCCGCUGUAUAUGCACUGACGCCUGCCCGGUGCCGGAAGGUUAAGAGGAUCCGUCAGCCUUCGGGUGAAGCGGUGAAUUCAAGCCCCGGUAAACGGCGGUGGUAACUAUAACCAUCCUAAGGUAGCGAAAUUCCUUGUCGGGUAAGUUCCGACCUGCACGAAUGGCGUAA
rnacentral:rRNA from 1 species